rnacentral:tRNA from 1 species
GGGGCUGUAGCUCAGAUGGAUAGAGCGAUCGCCUCCUAAGCGAUAGGUCGAGGGUUCGAGUCCCGCCAGUCCCG